AGUGGCGGACGGGUGAGUAACACGUAAGAAUUUGCCUUUAGGAGGGGGACAACAACUGGAAACGGUUGCUAAUACCCCAUAUGCUUUCGAGUGAAACGGAUUUUUCCGCCUAAAGAGAAGCUUGCGGCUGAUUAGCUUGUUGGUGAGGUAAUGGCUCACCAAGGCGACGAUCAGUAUCUGGUUUGAGAGGACGAUCAGACACACUGGAACUGAGACACGGUCCAGACUCCUACGGGAGGCAGCAGUGGGGAAUUUUCCGCAAUGGGCGAAAGCCUGACGGAGCAAUACCGCGUGAGGGAUGACGGCCUAUGGGUUGUAAACCUCUUUUUUCAGGGAGGAAUCAAAUGACGUGUACCUGAAGAAUAGGCAUCGGCUAACUCCGUGCCAGCAGCCGCGGUAAGACGGGGGAUGCAAGUGUUAUCCGGAAUCACUGGGCGUAAAGCGUCUGUAGGUGGUCAAAUAAGUCAACUGUUAAAUCUUGAGGCUCAACCUCAAAAUCGCAGUCGAAACUAUUAGACUAGAGUAUAGUAGGGGUAAAGGGAAUUUCCAGUGGAGCGGUGAAAUGCGUAGAGAUUGGAAAGAACACCGAUGGCGAAGGCACUUUACUGGGCUAUUACUAACACUCAGAGACGAAAGCUAGGGUAGCAAAUGGGAUUAGAUACCCCAGUAGUCCUAGCCGUAAACAAUGGAUACUAGAUGU
rnacentral:rRNA from 1 species